rnacentral:rRNA from 1 species
GACGAACGCUGGCGGCGUGCUUAACACAUGCAAGUCGAACGGAAAGGCCCUGCUUUUGUGGGGUGCUCGAGUGGCGAACGGGUGAGUAACACGUGAGUAACCUGCCCUUGACUUUGGGAUAACUUCAGGAAACUGGGGCUAAUACCGGAUAGGAGCUCCUGCUGCAUGGUGGGGGUUGGAAAGUUUCGGCGGUUGGGGAUGGACUCGCGGCUUAUCAGCUUGUUGGUGGGGUAGUGGCUUACCAAGGCUUUGACGGGUAGCCGGCCUGAGAGGGUGACCGGCCACAUGGGGACUGAGAGACGGCCCAGACGCCUACGGGAGGCAGCAGUGGGGAAUAUGGCACAAUGGGCGGAAGCCUGAUGCAGCAACGCCGCGUGCGGGAUGACGUCCUUCGGGUUGUAAACCGCUUUCGCCUGUGACGAAGCGUGAGUGACGGUAAUGGGUAAAGAAGCACCGGCUAACUACGUG